UCACUUGUCUGCUCCAUUCAGUGUUGCCUGUAUGCAUUGCAUUUAGGGCUGACCACCUGAGAUUGGAUAACCUAUCAGAGACCCUCUCUCAUCAGUCACAGUCUGCCUGUCCCUCUUCUGCUAGGGGUGUGGCCUUGUGAGAUUUUACCCCAUCCACAUUGGCUUGUCAACUGGCAUUGUGUGGUCACUGUGCUAGUCGGAUUAGACAGUCAUAUGGUUGAGAUGUCAUGGUUGUGGCUUCCCCUGCUGUAUAUAGAAGACUCUCUCUCACAGCAGGCAUCAUGGUCCUCUGGCUCUUUAAAUAUUUCCACUUCCCUGACCCUGUAUAAGGAUAUGCCGUAGAUGUGUCCGUAGGUAGUGCGCGCCCUAAAGUCUUUUUCUCUGCAUUUGACCAGCUCUGGAUCUCCGUAAUAGUCUCCAUCUGCUGCAAAAUGAGGAUUAUUUGAUGAGGUGUGAGAGAUCCACGGUCAGGCCUCAAUGAUAUGUUCAACUCUUGGGCCAAAGGCGUUCCUCCCAGGACGUCCAGAUUAUCCUGUUGUGUAUUUCUUCUCCGGUGGCCUGACGAGGUGCUCCUUGCCUUCGGUGAAUACAGAAGGCCACCAAAGGAGGGAGAAUCUAAGCAACACAGCCAUGUCUGAAGCCUGAAGGUCUCGGCAAACUCGCUGACGUGCCAGGCUGCUGGGCAGUCACCAUGCAUCCCUCUGGUUCCAUAAUUACACCUCCUUAUGCUGGUCCUUAAAUCCAAGCAGGCCCAUGCCAUCCCCCAUGAUGUGCACACAACCAUUAGUAACCUUCACCAGAGUCACUACUCAAAAACCCCGGCUCUCAUCAAGUUGGAAGUGACCUAUUCUAACCUUUCGCCUUCUUAUUUCACCCCGUUUUUUUUUUCCUUUUACGUCAUCCCCGAAGGAGAGGGUGAAUGCAUGUUUUGGAUCACC
rnacentral:sRNA from 1 species